rnacentral:rRNA from 1 species
GAUGAACGCUGGCGGCGUGCCUAAUACAUGCAAGUCGAGCGAACAGACGAGGAGCUUGCUCCUCUGACGUUAGCGGCGGACGGGUGAGUAACACGUGGAUAACCUACCUAUAAGACUGGGAUAACUUCGGGAAACCGGAGCUAAUACCGGAUAAUAUAUUGAACCGCAUGGUUCAAUAGUGAAAGACGGUUUUGCUGUCACUUAUAGAUGGAUCCGCGCCGCAUUAGCUAGUUGGUAAGGUAACGGCUUACCAAGGCAACGAUGCGUAGCCGACCCGAGAGGGUGAUCGGCCACACUGGAACUGAGACACGGUCCAGACUCCUACGGGAGGCAGCAGUAGGGAAUCUUCCGCAAUGGGCGAAAGCCUGACGGAGCAACGCCGCGUGAGUGAUGAAGGUCUUCGGAUCGUAAAACUCUGUUAUUAGGGAAGAACAAAUGUGUAAGUAACUAUGCACGUCUUGACGGUACCUAAUCGGAAAGCCACGGCUAACUACGUGCCAGCCGCCGCCGUAA